rnacentral:sRNA from 1 species
GAUAGGAUUUACAUCCUAUCCUAUAGUAUGCCGCCACUUCGUGGCU